CACUAGUCAGAGGCUGCUUUCUCUAGCCUUCCCUCUCUGAAGCCCCAGUUUUGACCAGUGGAGUAGCCAUGGUGGUGGUUUGUACCCUGCUACUGUGGCUUGUGGAACAACAUUGAAGGGACGAUAUGGGAGGAGUCAGUAUCACCUCUUCUGUCCUUACAGUCUUCUGUCAUCUCUCAGAGCAGGCAGGGUCGACUACCUACCAUGCCAGCCCCUCCUAGGCGCCUCCCAUCUCCUAUCACGAUCUACUCCAUCUCUCCAAGCUCCACUCUGCGGCUGUCUAAACUGCUCCAGCUCUCUAAGGAUGGAGAAACAGUGAGCCCUCCUGUACCCACCAGUCAUGGGAGAAGAAUACAUUCCUUGUGGCGGCCCUUCAGAAGCCCUCUUUCUCCGGCCUUUGCUCCAUUCUCAGAGGUUAGCCCUCAUAUCACUCGAUCACUCGAGGCAGAACCCUCUG